CAGCUAGAAAACACCGUUCUAGUUCUAACAGUAAGAGCUACACCGGUAGAAACGAACAUUGGUCGACGAUGGCAUUGGCAUCGACACGUCGUGUCACGCGGACGAAAUCGAGUUACACGGUGUAGCAUUUAGCGUUAAUUGCGGGUCACGCAUCACAGAUAACUCUUGGCUUAUCGUGUCUGUAUCGACAGGAUGGUCGACAUGCGCCGACUGCAGUUUUGACAAGCGAUACGUCGCGUCGGCUCGUUCGAUCGGGCCUGCUCUCUGUAGGUCAAUCGGAGAAGGCGGAAGAGUCGAUCUCUCUGUGCGCAACGAGCGGAAGUACCUACGAUGUCGCAUCUCGUUGCACGUGCAUGCACGAGGAGACGCGCGAGCGGAACCCGGGACGUCCGCGCCGCAUCGUGUACGGUACCCACGUAUCGCGGGUGAUACGCUCCGGUACGGCGUGGACGAUCGAUAUUGCUCUAACGCUGAUAAGGAGGGUUCAUAACAUACACGAGAGAGGAGAAGGAGGGGGAGGGCAAGAGAUUGAAACCGGUAUAGUUUCGUAAAGCUCGGAUUUCAGUGGCACGGACACGCGAGAAACUACGCCCGUGAAAGCCGAGACGCGACAGGCCGACGUGAGGUCGUCCCUCGCGUAUCUGUUGCUCUCGAAGGGCGAACUCGCUGAAAUUGUACCGUUUCCUUUUUUUUUAUUUCCGAUGACAGGCUCGCGUUCUCACGCGAUCGUUCCGGAUAUCGGGAUUUUCAGACGCGCCGAAUGCCGAGUCGCUUACAUCGGCGUCGUUUAAUUUUGAACUCUGAUCUUUUGCAUUUAUGUACCAGGGAUAAUUAAUCGAGAAGGGAGGUGGCAGAAAGUUUGAAGAUUGAUAAGGAUGAAAUUAUUGCAUGAUUUAUCGGAGAUAUUCAUAUUCGUUUAUUAAUUGCUUGAUAGGACGUCCCAAUUUGCGCAACUUUGAUGAAGUGGAUGGCUUCACUUGGCUUUCCCGGUAUUAAACUUUAGGAGCGCGUAGAUGACAAAAUCUCAAGCUUGUUUAAUUUCAACUGGAAUUUAUUUUCCACGGAAUUUUCAUCGGCAUACAUUGUUAUUUGUAUAAGUGCUUGCAGUCGGAUAAUUUAUGAACCUAGACAAUGGCUCGAGAUAAAGUGGCGCUAUCUUACAUGCCUUUACCCUAAAACAUUUUAUCUUUAUCUUAAAAAAAGGUUCAGAAGAGCAGGAAAUACUCAAGGUUUUUAAAAAUAGUCUUACUUUGGUUUCUACCUGAUGGCAAGCGGGUUUUUCACUGGAAACUAUCGAUUUAUCGAACGUGAAUUAUUAAACUUUAUUUCUCGGGCUCAACGUUGAAAUUAUUUUAGAGCAAAAAAUUCUUUCAAAGAUACACAUAAAGAUAGAAACAAGCCAGCGUCUAAUACGAAUUGUCAUUAACUGUAGGAAAGAUUCGUGGGUUUUGGAAUUUUUCCACAAAUCGUAACGAUAUAUCGAAAAGAGAACGACUUCAAAUCGGUUGUUUCUCCGCAGGAAAUAAAUUGAAAACGCGGCAACUCGUUGAAUUAAUAAGCAAUGACCAGUCUCGCGGAAUCGCGAUAGAAUAUUUUUCAGAAUAUUUCUUCUCGCGUAGAUAAAGACGUCUUACGGUAAACGGUGGCAAGAAAUGGCUAUUUCGCGAAACGAGAUCGAAGCCUCGUCAACGAAUAGGAACCUGCUAGACACGUUUAUCCGACGCGAUCGAGCGAAGUGCGCGCCUGUUAAUAUUUUUAGAUUCAUAUUUGAUGGCGAAUAGGCGAAGAAGCGGAGUAGCGACGAGGCUAGAGUUUAUUGCGCAACUCUUUGCACGCGAUCGAUUAACGACGAUUUAGAUCGUUGAAAACCGAACGCGGAAAAUCGUCGUUAUUCCCAGAGACAAAUAAAUAAUUCACAUUUAUGAAAGGAUUAUAUAGCAUUUGUUUUUUCCCGUGGAUACAAAAUGGUGAAAUUGUCCAUGUAUACUUUGCAGGUCUCUUAAAUCAUUUUGACGCUCAAGAACUUUAUCGCAAGGGGAUAAAACGAGAAUGUUAAUGAACGGCAUGUGGCUGAGAAUUGAAUCGUUAACAUUCAUUAGCACUUUACGAUAUAGCCGCCUUCAUUAACGCUUCUUGCAACGUUGCAUUUAAAUUAGAAGCUGCUGACAAUGCGAAUAUAAAUGGCAUUUAUUUAGAAUAUAUACGGUACAAGCGUACUUGAUAAACAAGGCGGUUCGUGAAAAUUAAGAUACACUUCUUCCCGGCAUAAACGUCGAAAUAAAAAGUUAUCGAGCGAUUAAUACUGGGAGUUUCAGAGAAUUAACGCCAACGGCACAUUUUUCCUACUGGAUAGCUCACGAGACCCAACAAAGAUGCAGAGUUUUGGAUCAGGUGACUUAAAGCUGAAUCCCGAUUGGCUCUCGUAAGCGAUCCAAUAGGAGAAACAGUAUCGUGUGCCGUUGGCUUAAGCUUUAAGAGAGAAAAAUGAUGAAAAUGUGGAAUCAGGAAAAACACGCAUUUUUUAGUUCAUUCUUUAGCAAAUUUCAUUGAAAUAUCUGAAAUAAUAGGUAAUUAAAGGUUUUAGCUGUGGAAAUAUUCAAUUGAAAAUUUGAAAACUGGGAGGAAAAUAUUCAGCGAAAUUUCGAUAAAAUAUUAUUUCAGCCCCCGUAAGGAAAGCCUAUAUAUGCCGUUCGUAGAACGCGCCUGCUGGCAAACGCUUUAUACGUAGCUCCGCAUUGUGUCGCAUCGUUAUCCAACAUCCUGAUUCUACCGCGGUGAAUAAACCGCUUCCCUUAUUAAUAGAUUCUAAAAAUUACCUUACUCUACGCUACGUUAUUCCGUCACGUGAUAGCGUUACGAUUAACGUCGCAAUCGCAACGUCGUACGAAUCGAAAAAAAAAAAAAGAUUUAAUGCCGAUCUUUCACUCGCGCAUUUCCCUUGUCGUCGUUUUCCCUCUGGACCGAAGCGAUCUUUCACUCACGCAUUUCCCUUCUCGUCGUUUUCCCUCUGAACCGAAGCGGGCGUUUCUACAUUCCGGGAGCGCGAAUUAUCAAUUACGAUGCUCGCAAUUAUUCCGUUGGUCGUAUGUAUAUGUACACAAGGAUACGUAAUAGAAAUCGAUGUUACGAGUCACGAUACUCCGGUUACAUCACCGUAUAUAAUUACAGUGCACUGCGCGUUUCAGAACAGGUCUCUCUCGUCACUCGGAUUUUUCUGCCGUCAGUGCCGGUUUUUCACGGUCGGCGUAUCCGGCCUUGCGCUUUUCGAUUUGCAUGCACUCACGGGAGCAUGCACCGCGCGGCAGUUCCGAGAAUCGUAAGAUAUGCGAAAAGCCGGAAAGUUGCGGUGUAACAGGGACGGAUAUUUUGCUCCUCUCGGUCCGCCGGCCGUUUUCUCGCUCGGUAUCGCUAAUACCGCAAUCUCGUCCCGCCGUUACCCGCAUCGUAUGCAGUUUCCGGUCCCGUGCGACGAUGAGGCUGAGAAACUAAUUAUUUGUUUGCGUCGUUCUGGGUGCCGGUCCGGUCAGGAGGGGGAAAAAAAAAGACGCGAUACGAGUUUUGUAACCAACCGCCGUUGCCGGUCGGUCGUUUCCUACGAGAUUUCUGCGCCGGAUAACUGCCCCCGGUGCUACUCUUUAACUGCGAUUACUUCGAUUUACAUCACUUAAGUUCGAUUACUUCGAUUAACUUGGACCGCUUCUCCUAUUUAAGAGCCCACUAAUAAUUCCCUCGGGAUAUUUUAUGAAAUUCUGAUUUAUGCUUUCCGGCUCGAGGUAUCGUUUUUAGAUAUCGACUUUUAUUUCUUAAGCAACUAAUUUUAGAGCGUUAAUAACUAUUGAUAUAGCUGUUUAAUCUAUAAAUGUUUUAUUGUUGACAACGGUGUUUCUAACGAAAAAAAUAUAUCCUGCAGAUAUUUAAUUUCGACUUUUUUUAAGUACUUUGUCGUUUUUAGCUCGCCGUGCAAUAGCAAAUAUUUUUUAAUAAAAUUACUCAGGGUCGAAUAGACGUUAUAGCACUAAUAAAGCUUGAAGAUUUUACAUGUUACACGUGCAACUCGAAUAACGUUAUGCAUGAUUCAGGAAAUUAAAUUUUGAUUCGUUAUCCGGCAAUCACACGUGGCCGAUAUCGCGAUAAACGAGCCGUGUCCGGGCUCGUGGAAGCGAACGUCAGGAAUGUCAUUAAGCCGAGAUUUUCGAUUAAUGUGGCAGGUGGGCGAUAAUGACGUAGCCCGCGACAAUGACUUGUAUACACGGUAUAUUCCUGCCCCUCUUUCCUCUACGGGGCUAAAUAAUCCGCAGGAGAGGAGGGCGAUGAUCCUCGGGCGAGACAUCGCGCGGCGCGGCUCUCGUCUCGGAAGAGCGAGGAAAAUCUCACGGUGCAGUCCGCGAUCGGAAACGCAUUAGAAAAUAGCGUUCUCGUCUUACGUGCUCUCGACGCGAAUAUCGUCGAAUGUCGUCGAACGCAAUCUUGUAACGCGGUGUACUUACAUGUGCAUUCGCGCGCGCGCGAAAACAUCGGCAGCAUCUUGUAACGAGAUGUGCAACGAUUUUUCACGAUGGCACACUUCGGAUGCGGUAUACGACGAUUUGAAGGCGAAAAUGAAGGGCCGGACGACGCUCCAUUCUUCUUCAUCGAGGACGAUCUCCUAGGAAUGACACUAUGAAAGGAAAAGCUCACGACUCGACCAUACAAGGUUUUGCGAAGCAAUACCCCGGCUGUACACAAUAUACCAGGAAAAAGUCAGGAGGGACGGCGAUCGCUGGAGGAUCGAGAUCAGGUCGCGGAAUUUUAUUGAGGACCCUUGUGUUCGUCUUCCUGGCCACGUUCCUCUGGCUUCAGCUUCACGUGAUCAGUUUGACGGGCCGAGAUGAUUCCGGGCAAUCGUCAUCGAACGAGACGCUUUUCUCCCUCGUACCUCAAGAGUUGCACAGAUUUUUAAAGGAAGGACGUAACUCGUCGACAAGCUUGGCGAACUCUAGCUCGGGAGCACUUACGGAUCUGGAGAUCACGGAAAUCCGUCAUAAAAUCGAGCGGGCGAAUGCGGAGCAAAAAGUGUUCAACGAGGAGGCGUUCGGGCCGUUGGCCAGCGAUGCUCCAAUUAUAGUCAUCCAAGUGCACACACGGCUCACUUAUCUGCGGCACCUUAUCGUCUCACUGGCGCAAGCUAAGGACAUCGAGCAGGCCCUUCUCGUAUUUAGCCACGACAUUUGGCACCCGGAUAUCAACUACCUCGUGCAAAGCGUCGACUUUUGCAGGGUCAUGCAGAUUUUCUAUCCGCACAGCAUACAGACUCAUCCCCAUACGUUUCCCGGCGAAGGACCCAACGACUGUCCGCGAAAUAUUCGCAAGGAACAGGCCUUAAAGUUAAAAUGCACCAACGCCAAACACCCAGACCUGUACGGUCACUACAGGGAGGCCAAGUUCACGCAGACCAAGCAUCACUGGUGGUGGAAAGCGAACAGGGUGUUCGAUCAGUUGUCGGUGACGAGAAACCACACCGGGAUGGUCCUCUUUCUCGAGGAGGACCAUUACGUCGCCGAGGACUUCUUGCACGUGCUCAGACUCAUGGAGCGCACUUGCAAGCUCAGCUGCGAGAGAUGCAACGUUCUCUCGUUGGGUACAUAUUUAAAGACGUACAACUAUUUUACGGACUUUAGUCGUAAGUUCCUCGGCGUCGAUAGCGCUCUGCAGAAGGAGUUGCUGCGUGGAUUAAAGCGGCAAGAGGUGUCGGCGAUGGCGCAGCGGCAGCAACUCGGCAACGGAUUCGGCGGCAUCGUCACCGUCACCGGCGGUGGUGGCGACGGCGUUAAUAACGUCGGUAACGGGAGUACCGUCAAGGGCGUCAGCAGCGGCGGCGGUGGCGGCGGCGGCGGCGUCAGCGUUUCAUCCACCUACUAUCAGAACGCGCACACGUUGCAAGCGGCGCCCGGGUGGGCCUUCCAACUCCUGCCCAGCCUCUACAAUCAUUAUCAGAAGGCGGAAGUCACUCCAUGGAUAUCCAGCAAACACAACAUGGGCAUGGCGUUCAAUCGUGUCACGUGGAACAAGCUACGGAAAUGCGCGGCCCAGUUUUGUUCGUACGACGACUACAACUGGGACUGGAGUCUGCAGUAUAUCGCGCAAACGUGCAUGCCGUCCAGUCGGGGCGCCGGGAUAGCGCCCCGCGCUGAAUCCGGGCUGAUCACGAUGACGAUGAGAGCUCCGAGAGUCUUCCAUAUCGGAGAAUGUGGGGUGCAUCAUAAGAAGAAUAACUGUGAAUCGACGGCGGUGAUAGCAAAGGUCCAGAACGUCUUGAACGCGGCGCGCAAUCAUCUCUUCCCCUCGCAAUUAACGUUGGCGAUCGCCGGGACGGCGAAGAAGACGAAACUGCGGAAGGGCAACGGCGGAUGGGGAGACAUUCGAGAUCAUCAGCUUUGCUGGAACAUGACCAUAUAUCCAGAUCUAGUCUUGCCUUGAGAACCACAAGUUUUGACGUUGAUAUCGAUUGGUUCCAAUACGAUCGUGAUACGAACCGCCGGUCACUGAAUUAUCAGAUGUCCGAUAGGAUGCAAGGAUUACUGAAGAAUCCCCCGUCGUCCUAACGAAUCGUGUUUCGAAUUGCGCUGACAUAUCGUCGCUGCCAGUCAUCAAAGGCGAAUGUAAGACCGCCGUCACUGCCACGAACGGGAUAUUUCAUGUGCGAAUAGAAAUGACUAGACGUUUCUUCGAGACAGGACGUAAUGCUUGAGUGUAAUGAAUGAGAGAAAACAUCAGUCAACUCGAUAGUGAGCUCAAAUUGGUGCUAUUCUGGAAAAAAAAUGCUGCUUUUCGUGGUAUAAGUAGUUAGCCGCUCUGGUAAACUAUGUGCAGUUGUACUGAUAUACAAUAGUUAAGACACUGAAGAAGCUGCAAGUGAAGCGCGUUAUUAUAGUAUUGACGAGAAGAUUUAUUUAUUCAAUUAAUUUUUACGCUGUCUACCAAUAUAGUGUGAUAAAAGCGUACGGUAAUAAGACGUCGCGUUUCUUCAAUUGCGUUUUGAAGCGACGUGACGCGCACUUGUUCGAAGGAUCGAAGGAGACGAAUAUUCUCGAGGAUUAUGCGGGAGAAUAUGAGAGACAAUGUUUGAUUAGAUUGAAACAUGGAUUAUCGAUAUUCUAAAAGGCCUACGAGACAGCGGGAAUGGCAACAGCUACGUAUUUAAUUGCCAUGUCACCCUAAAGGCGAUACAUAGACGAAGAAGGCUGCACCCUGUACUUCUGUAACUUCGUGAUGGAAUUAACUUUCUGCUUCCCGACUUAGCUUCUGCUCUUUUUAAGAUAUUAUUACGCUCGACAGGGGCGUUUAUCAGAUUCGUAAGCUGAAUUACGAAUUGCGCUCAUCAUAUUCUAGUCAAUGUGUAUAACGUACCAUUAAAGCCGCAGGUAUUUAAUAAUCGAUCGUAGAGAAUAAGUUCGUAAAAUUAAGAAUUCACACAUACUACUAGUGAUACGCCCUCAAAGGCGCAGUAACGUCAUGUAACGACCUCGGGGAUACGAACGUAAUGAAUGUCUCAUGUACCUUUUAUAUUUAUAACAAUAAAACAACAGCAACGAAA